ACUUAACCUCUUUGUUCUUUACCUCACUCUCCCACACAUUUCAUCCAAACAAGAAAAACUUUGAAAAAGUGCCGUUAGCGCGAAGUGAGCAGAAAUGAUUGAUAUCUGGAUCUUUCUCUAGCACUUCCGAAAUCAAACAUCUCCAGCGCUCCUACGGUAUAUGACACGGAGCUCUAGAAACAUCUCGGCCUCAGACCUCACCAGCUAAAUUGCCUUCACUCGCCAGCGUCGGAUGACAGAUAAAUUGAUCGAAAUAUUGGAAAAUAAUAUCCUGCCCAAACUCGUUGAACCCCGAUUUCCAGUCUUUUGAAUUUUUCAUACGGGAACAAAAUGAAAAACGGUUUUGAUGUGUUUUCCUUCCUCCCUUUCCCGCACAAUUAUGUAGUGCUCAUUUGCAAUAAGGUCGACUCAUACAUCAAACACUGUGUGCGCUGUAAACAGAACGUGGCACUUUUUUUCCAACGGUCCCAAAUCAUUGUAAGCACAGGAAGUCAAGUUGGGAGUCUAUUGGCUUGAAAAUAAUGUUGCCGAGCUUCAAUAAAUCUAUAAAUCUGACACUGGCCUUCAGGGCCUCAUUCGACGCAGAAAUCUUUAUUACGGUUAUGUGUUGCUGGUAUCAGUUAAAAGAAAUCAUCUUUUGAAGCUCUUUUUAGAGAGAUCGAACUAGAAGCAUGGUUGGAAUAAUUUGAAGAUCAUCUUCAUAUCUGACAUUACGUUUCCAGGCUGAUAAAAUUUGACCGUACUAAGCAGCAGAUGAAUUUAAUUGAACGAAUCUGAGACUUUCAUUUUUUCUAGAUAUUUGAAGCGAAUCUGAUGGUGACAUGAUAUUGUUCCACCAGCUCUAGUUAUGUACAUUUUAAUCAGUUUGAUUAAUUAUGCCUGAAAUAACCAUCAUUAGCCACCAGCUUUCACUUCUGGUUGUGUUCAGCUGCCUUGCAGUCUACUAUGAAGUCAGUUUAGCAUAGUAUGUGACCAAUUUGGGCUCCAUGUAGGCAGCUCAUGCAUUGUACAAUACCGCUCCCCAGGUGUUGACUCACAAUUUAUUUCACUUUAAUAAAGUCUAAUGUUAACAUGUUGCCAAGCUAACGUCAGUUUAAUAAGCACUCCCAAGUAUUGGGUAAAUAUUUUGCUAUCCUCAUCGCAAUGCAUUAUGGGACUGUUUUCUCCACAAAAGAUGCUUGCAGUUCUAGAGUUUGGCCAAAUGAAUAUAUUGGGAAUAUUUAUGCAGCUUUUUAUUUGUUUCUUUGUUCCUGUUGUGUCAGGAUGUUUGCGUUUUAAAUGCAACCUGCAUAGGCGGCUCACUAGUUUAUUGAAACACAGUCUGUGUCUCUCUCUCUCUUUCUCUCCAUCUGUGAAGUUUCAGUGACGGAUGUUUGUGGCAGGAAAGACCUCUGUCACAGGAAAAUGAGGACACCCGGAGCGGUGCAGCGAGCAGAGGCCAACACAAGAUUAUCCACUGCACUUUGCACUCAGCCAAACUAUGACAUUUUCCCGAUCUACGGGGCUUGAACCGUGGACAGCUACGACAGAACCCUGUCACACUUCCAUUGUCGAGGUCAACAGACUUACUUUCAGAAAGAGGGUGAGAAUGAGCAAUGGAGGCUUUACAGCAUGGUGGCAGGAUGCCUGGACUGUUUAACAGAACCACAGCGAGCGGUGGAGAACGACUGGCUGAACCACACGACGUUUCCUAUGAAGCCGCUGGCAAAGUCAAAGUGACAGCAUAAGCGGUAAUAAAGGACGUCGCGGCAGUAGAUGUGUCAUUAUCAGAAAAGCUUUGAAAGAGGGAAAUUGUGAAUCAUUCACACCCACCCGCUUUGGCCCAGACGUCCCCCUGUUCCCCCCCGAUCAUCCAUCACUCUCUUCUUGCCUAAGCACUUCACCCGACAGCAGACCAGAAGAGGAGCGAUGCUCGAGUCUAACGGCAUUAAUGAAGGGUGAGAACAUUGCCUGGGAUUCUUCUCAUGUCACGUCAGCCAUUGACGUUUGUUGUGCCACACAGAACAUAAUUGGGUGCUGUAUGUGACCCGGUCGGUGAAAACUGAGCUAAAAACGGCCUUGACGUGGACGAGUGUCUGUAAGAAGAAUUUGUGAUAAGGCAGAGCAGACCUCCUGCUAGAAACGUCAUCGCCGACCCGGGCCAAAGGUCAAGAGUCAACCGACAAAUACAUCUCCCGCUUUCACCGUCGCUCGCUUGAAAAUUGAUAAAGACAGACGAGGACGCAGAUGGAAGGAGAAGCGGGCACGAGACAGCAGAGAGAGGUGUCAGAGCGGCAUUUUGUGACGCAUCAUUGAGGAUGCCCUCCCAUAAUGCUCUGCUGUCUGACCUCACACUUCACAGGGCCCUUCAUCGGCUGCCGGUGAAUUAUGCCACGGAAAGAACGAGGCCGUGAAUCAUCGUGUCCAGGUAAAUGCCAGGAUGAUGAUAUAAUUGGUUGCAGCCGAGAGAAGAGCAACCUGGGUAAAAUGUUAGUCAGUCAUUGUUCGGGAAUGAAGAUACGGCUCAUUGAACACUAAAAUUUUUUUAUACGGGGUAAGUUGUCACAAUGGGAACCUGGCAUUAAACAGUGAAUUAUAGGAUUCAUCCAGGAGAACAAUUAUUAAUCAUAACAUUUCCUGAAACCAUAA